rnacentral:rRNA from 1 species
AAAUUGAAGAGUUUGAUCAUGGCUCAGAUUGAACGCUGGCGGCAGGCCUAACACAUGCAAGUCGAACGGUAACAGGAAGCAGCUUGCUGCUUCGCUGACGAGUGGCGGACGGGUGAGUAAUGUCUGGGAAACUGCCUGAUGGAGGGGGAUAACUACUGGAAACGGUGGCUAAUACCGCAUAACGUCGCAAGACCAAAGAGGGGGACCUUCGGGCCUCUUGCCAUCAGAUGUGCCCAGAUGGGAUUAGCUAGUUGGUGAGGUAACGGCUCACCAAGGCGACGAUCCCUAGCUGGUCUGAGAGGAUGACCAGCCACACUGGAACUGAGACACGGUCCAGACUCCUACGGGAGGCAGCAGUGGGGAAUAUUGCACAAUGGGCGCAAGCCUGAUGCAGCCAUGCCGCGUGUAUGAAGAAGGCCUUCGGGUUGUAAAGUACUUUCAGCGGGGAGGAAGGUGUUGUGGUUAAUAACCGCAGCAAUUGACGUUACCCGCAGAAGAAGCACCGGCUAACUCCGUGCCAGCAGCCGCGGUAAUACGGAGGGUGCAAGCGUUAAUCGGAAUUACUGGGCGUAAAGCGCACGCAGGCGGUCUGUCAAGUCGGAUGUGAAAUCCCCGGGCUCAACCUGGGAACUGCAUUCGAAACUGGCAGGCUUGAGUCUUGUAGAGGGGGGUAGAAUUCCAGGUGUAGCGGUGAAAUGCGUAGAGAUCUGGAGGAAUACCGGUGGCGAAGGCGGCCCCCUGGACAAAGACUGACGCUCAGGUGCGAAAGCGUGGGGAGCAAACAGGAUUAGAUACCCUGGUAGUCCACGCCGUAAACGAUGUCUACUUGGAGGUUGUGCCCUUGAGGCGUGGCUUCCGGAGCUAACGCGUUAAGUAGACCGCCUGGGGAGUACGGCCGCAAGGUUAAAACUCAAAUGAAUUGACGGGGGCCCGCACAAGCGGUGGAGCAUGUGGUUUAAUUCGAUGCAACGCGAAGAACCUUACCUGGUCUUGACAUCCACAGAACUUUCCAGAGAUGGAUUGGUGCCUUCGGGAACUGUGAGACAGGUGCUGCAUGGCUGUCGUCAGCUCGUGUUGUGAAAUGU